UACCAGCACCCCGAGUGGUCGGGACGAUUAUUGGGCCUAAAGCAUCCGUAGCCGGUACUGCAAGUCUUCCGUUAAAUCCACCUGCUUAACAGUUGGGCUGCGGGGGAUACUACAGCGCUAGGAGGCGGGAGAGGCAAGCGGUACUCAAUGGGUAGGGGUAAAAUUCGCUGAUCCAUUGAAGACCACCAGUGGCGAAGGCGGCUUGCCAGAAUGCGCUCGACGGUGAGGGAUGAAAGCUGGGGGAGCAAACCGG
rnacentral:rRNA from 1 species